CUUAACACAUGCAAGUCGAGCGGGGAAAAGUAGCUUGCUACUUUACCUAGCGGCGGACGGGUGAGUAAUGCUUAGGAAUCUGCCUAUUAGUGGGGGACAACAUUUCGAAAGGAAUGCUAAUACCGCAUACGUCCUACGGGAGAAAGCAGGGGACCUUCGGGCCUUGCGCUAAUAGAUGAGCCUAAGUCGGAUUAGCUAGUUGGUGGGGUAAAGGCCUACCAAGGCGACGAUCUGUAGCGGGUCUGAGAGGAUGAUCCGCCACACUGGGACUGAGACACGGCCCAGACUCCUACGGGAGGCAGCAGUGGGGAAUAUUGGACAAUGGGGGCAACCCUGAUCCAGCCAUGCCCGCGUGUGUGAAGAAGGCCUUUUGGUUGUAAAGCACUUUAAGCGAGGAGGAGGCUCCCCAGUAUUAAUACUACUGGAGAGUGGACGUUACUCGCAGAAUAAGCACCCGGCUAACUCUGUGCCAGCAGCCCGCGGUAAUACAGAGGGUGCAAGCGUUAAUCGGAUUUACUGGGCGUAAAGCGUGCGUAGGUGGCCAAUUAAGUCAAAUGUGAAAUCCCCGAGCUUAACUUGGGAAUUGCAUUCGAUACUGGUUGGCUAGAGUAUGGGAGAGGAUGGUAGAAUUCCCAGGUGUAGCGGUGAAAUGCGUAGAGAUCUGGAGGAAUACCGAUGGCGAAGGCAGCCAUCUGGCCU
rnacentral:rRNA from 1 species